AAUCCCGUCUUUGACAUGGACUGCCAGGGCUCAACAGGUGUGCUCUCGAAGAGUCGAGUUGUUUGGGAAUGCAGCUCAAAAUGGGUGGUAAAUGCCAUCUAAAGCUAAAUAUUGGCGAGAGACCGAUAGCAAACAAGUACCGUGAGGGAAAGAUGAAAAGCACUUUGGAAAGAGAGUGAAACAGUACGUGAAAUUGUUGAAAGGGAAACGCUUGAAGUCAGUCGUGCCCUCUGGGAUUCAGCCUUGCUUCUGCUUGGUUUACUUCUCUUUGGGUGGGUCAACAUCAGUUUGGGUCGGAGGAGAAAGACUUGGGGAAGGUGGCAGCAUUCGUGCUGUGUUAUAGCCCCUUGUUGUAUACUUCGAUUUGGACUGAGGACCGCAGCACGCCUUUGGCCGGGGCUCGCCCACGUACGUGCUUAGGAUGUUGGCAUAAUGGCUUUAAGCGACCCGUCUUGAAACACGGACCAAGGAGUCUAACAUGUGCGCGAGUGUUUGAGUGUUAAACUCAGACGCGAAGUGAAAGUGAAAGGUUGGGAACACUUAUGUGUGCACCGACGCCCGGAGCUGACCUUCUGUGACGCAUCUGCGGUAGAGCGUAUAUGUUGGGACCCGAAAGAUGGUGAACUAUGCCUGAAUAGGGUGAAGCCAGAGGAAACUCUGGUGGAGGCUCGUAGCGAUUCUGACGUGCAAAUCGAUCGUCAAAUUUGGGUAUAGGGGCGAAAGACUAAUCGAACCAUCUAGUAGCUGGUUCCUGCC
rnacentral:rRNA from 2 species